GGAUUGUGGCUCAGUGGAAGCGCGCUUGCCUAGCAUGCAUGACACACUGGGUUCGAUUCUCAGCACCA
rnacentral:tRNA from 1 species